AGAGUUGAUCAUGGCUCAGGACGAACGCUGGCGGCACGCUUAACACAUGCAAGUCGAACGGAGUUAUCGAGAGCUUGCUUUUGAUAACUUAGUGGCGGACGGGUGAGUAACACGUGAGCAAUCUGCCCUUAAGAGGGGGAUACCGAUUGGAAACGAUCGUUAAUACCGCAUAAGAUAGUAGUAUCGCAUGAUACAGCUAUAAAAGAUUUAUCGCUUAAGGAUGAGCUCGCGUCUGAUUAGCUAGUUGGUGAGGUAACGGCUCACCAAGGCAACGAUCAGUAGCCGGACUGAGAGGUUGGACGGCCACAUUGGGACUGAGACACGGCCCAGACUCCUACGGGAGGCAGCAGUGGGGAAUAUUGCACAAUGGAGGGAACUCUGAUGCAGCGAUGCCGCGUGAGGGAAGAAGGUUUUAGGAUUGUAAACCUCUGUUGACAGGGACGAUAAUGACGGUACCUGUUGAGGAAGCUCCGGCUAACUACGUGCCAGCCGCUGC
rnacentral:rRNA from 1 species